AGACUUCUACCUAGAAUCUCAGUCUGAACACUUUCAAGGCAUUGACAGUCGCAGAACUGAAAUGAAUGAAGGUUCUAGUCACGGAGCCGUGAGUUGCCAUAGUUUUUGAUGACUUAUUUUUAUUUUUGUUCUCUCCUUACCCCAAGGGGCUUGUCCUGUGCAUUUAACCUUGACACCUAUGAAGUCAUGCAUUUCCAGAGAACCUGGAGGACUGCAGGCACCAAAGAAUGAGGGUAGAGGUAUGCAAUGAAGAAUGAGUCUUCUCUAUCUAAGGACAAAAGAGAAGCAGGAGUCUCAGGAGAUUAGGGUCCAGCUGAGGGCAGAAAGAAGAAGCUUGGUAGAAAUGGGAUCAAGACUCUCCGGCUCACAAAUGUUCCCAGUCCAUGCCCUUCCUCCUGAUCUCAUCUGGAUUAUUCAGAUCCACAGGAGCCCACAAGCCACCCUGGAAACCUUGAGCCACUCACAACUCCUGGAGUCUGAGCAACCCAUCAGAGGUUGAACCAGGAUGCCUAUAAAAAGCCUUCUGCGUUCCCCUACAUACUCUUCAUGAAUCCUCAGGAAGAAUGGAAUAAGACAAGGGUCAGAGAGCUGGAGCCAGAUACUGAAGAUGCCAGGCUGGCUGGAGGCACUGGCGGCUGCACUUCCUCAGCCUGUCUCCUGUCUCUCUGGCUGGCAUGGCCUCUGCCUAUACUCCUUUAAGGGAAUUGGUCAUGCUCCUGGCUAGCCUCACCUGUGUGUCUACUACUUAUUGCAUAAAGGAAAGGUUAUUUCCACGCUCAGUUUUCUAGACACUUACAAGCACGGAUCUGUGAAUCAGUUAUGGCAGCAAAGAAUAAGUGGGAGAUUCAUCUUAACACCUGAACUACCUGCCAUUCCUGUCUCUGGGACUUGCCUGCCAUGUAAAAGCCAAUUCAGGAAACAUCAAGAGCCUCAAGCUAACCCUACAAAGCAGGGGCCUCCCAGAGCUCACACCAACCAUAAAAGGAGAGAAAGAGGCCAGCAGCCCUCACUAACUCUACAUCUGUCACAUGCGCAGGAUUCAGAAGACAUGAAGACUUCUAUACAUCCUCUCAACUUCUCCUCCACCAGGCAUUCCCAUUUCCAAAUUUCCGGAAUCCGGAAACUAUAUUCCAGCCUGUGGUGGUUUGAAUAUCCUUGGCCCAUGGAAAGUGGCCCUAUUGGGAGGUGUGAUCUUAUUGGAGGAGGUGUUACCUUGUUAGAGGAAGUGUGUCACUGUGGGGGUGGACUUUAGGGCUCCUAUGCUCAAGUUCUGCCCAGUGUGGAAUCAGAGCCUUCUGGCUGCCUGUGGAAGACAGUCUCCUCCUAGCAGUCUUUAGAUCAAGAUGUAAAACUCUUGGCUCUCUAGCACUCUCUAGUCUUCUGAGCAGGAGAGAAGAACGCACUGAAGGGCAGGGAAGACCUGGAAAUGAACAACAGCUCUUUGAAGGAGAUUAGGGAGUAAGAUGGUUUGUAUAUGCUUGGCCCAGUGAGUGGGCCAUAUUAGAAGGUGUGGCUCUGUUGGAGUAGGUGUGGUACUGUGGGUGUGGGCUUCAAGACCCUCUUCCUAGUUGCCAGGAAGCCUGUAUUCUGCUAGCAGCCUUCAGAUGAAGAUGUAGAACUCUCUCAUCCUGCCUGGAUGCUGCCAUGCUUCCACCUUGAGGAUAAUGGACUGAACCCCUGAGCCUGUAAGCCAGCCCCAAUUAAAUGCUGUCAUUUAUAAGA
rnacentral:lncRNA from 1 species